rnacentral:rRNA from 1 species
CCUACGGGCGGCAGCAGUGGGGAAUAUUGGACAAUGGGGGGAACCCUGAUCCAGCCAUGCCGCGUGUGUGAAGAAGGCCCUCGGGUUGUAAAGCACUUUCAGUGAGGAAGAACGCCUGGUGGUUAAUACCCAUCAGGAAAGACAUCACUCACAGAAGAAGCACCGGCUAACUCCGUGCCAGCAGCCGCGGUAAUACGGAGGGUGCGAGCGUUAAUCGGAAUUACUGGGCGUAAAGCGCGCGUAGGUGGCUUGAUAAGCCGGUUGUGAAAGCCCCGGGCUCAACCUGGGAACGGCAUCCGGAACUGUCAAGCUAGAGUGCAGGAGAGGAAGGUAGAACUCCCGGUGUAGCGGUGAAAUGCGUAGAGAUCGGGAGGAAUACCAGUGGCGAAGGCGGCCUUCUGGACUGACACUGACACUGAGGUGCGAAAGCGUGGGUAGCAAACAGGAUUAGAUACCCGGGUAGUC